rnacentral:rRNA from 1 species
ACUGCUCAGUAACACGUGGAUAACCUGCCCUUGGGUCCGGCAUAACCCCGGGAAACUGGGGAUAAUUCCGGAUAACGCACAUAUGCUGGAAUGCUUUAUGCGUAAAAUGGAUUCGUCUGCCCAAGGAUGGGUCUGCGGCCUAUCAGGUAGUAGUGGGUGUAAUGUACCUACUAGCCAACAACGGGUACGGGUUGUGAGAGCAAGAGCCCGGAGAUGGAUUCUGAGACAUGAAUCCAGGCCCUACGGGGCGCAGCAGGCGCGAAAACUUUACAAUGCGGGAAACCGUGAUAAGGGGACACCGAGUGCCAGCAUCAUAUGCUGGCUGUCCGGGUGUGUAAAAUACACCCGUUAGCAAGGGCCGGGCAAGACCGGUGCCAGCCGCCGCGGUAACACCGGCGGCCCGAGUGGUGAUCGUGAUUAUUGGGUCUAAAGGGUCCGUAGCCGGUUUGGUCAGUCCUCCGGGAAAUCUGAUGGCUCAACCAUUAGGCUUUCGGGGGAUACUGCCAGGCUUGGAACCGGGAGAGGUAAGAGGUACUACAGGGGUAGGAGUGAAAUCUUGUAAUCCCUGUGGGACCACCUGUGGCGAAGGCGUCUUACCAGAACGGGUUCGACGGUGAGGGACGAAAGCUGGGGGCACGAACCGGAUUAGAUACCCGGGUAGUCCCAGCCGUAAACGAUGCUCGCUAGGUGUCAGGCAUGGCGCGACCGUGUCUGGUGCCGCAGGGAAGCCGUGAAGCGAGCCACCUGGGAAGUACGGCCGCAAGGCUGAAACUUAAAGGAAUUGGCGGGGGAGCAC